UAUGGCGCUAACCAUUCUGUAAUUGCCCAAUACCAUAAGAUCUCAAAAGAUAAGCAGGGCUGGACCUGGUUAGUACCACCGUAGAACACCAAGGGCUGCUAGCC
rnacentral:rRNA from 12 species